rnacentral:rRNA from 1 species
ACUGGAGUCUGCAACCCGACUCCACGAAGUUGGAUUCGCUAGUAAUCGCGCAUCAGCCAUGGCGCGGUGAAUACGUUCCCGGGCCUUGUACACACCGCCCGUCAAGCCAUGGGAGCCGGGGGCGCCUGAAGUCCGGGACCGCGAGGACCGGCCUAGGGCGAAACUGGUAACUGGGGCUAAGUCGUAACAAGGUAAC